rnacentral:rRNA from 1 species
CCCUUAGAUGCUCUGGGCCGCACGCGCGCUACACUGGUCGAUGCAACGAGUUUCUUUCCUUGGCCGACAGGCCUGGGCAAUCUUUGAACAUCGAUCGUGAUCGGGAUAGAUUCUUGUAAUUUUUGAUCUUAAACGAGGAAUUCCUAGUAAACGCAAGUCAUCAGCUUGCAUUGAUUACGUCCCUGCCCUUUGUACACACCGCCCGUCGCACCUACCGAUUGAAUGGUCCGGUGAAAUCUCCGGACUGGCGUGAGUCGGAGCAAUCUGACAAACACCGGAAAGUUGAUUAAACCUUACCAUUUAGAGGAAGGUGAGGUCGUAACA